GAUAGCGUGGCCGAGCGGUCCUAAGGCGCUGGAUUAAGGCUCCAGUCUCUUCCGAGGCUUGUUUUCGAAUCCCACUGCUGUCA
rnacentral:tRNA from 1 species